AACUCUUUCUCCAGCAGCGCUGAGGAGUGCGACAUUCAGGAAAUGGCAAUGCGGCAGUAAGGAAGGAAUCUGUGCCCUUUAAUGACCUAGAGGAGUAGAUCCACUUCGCCACCUGGACCGGCCAGACUAAUGUGGCCCGGACUCUCAGCUGGACUGACAGGCAAAAUAUCUGUGUCCGUGUACGUUAUUCAUCUGUCACUGGGUCAAGGUCUCCGGGACAGACCCCCUACAGCUGGCGCUCCGUGUGAGGAAUGCUGCGAAGGAUCACGACGGACCCCCCAAAAUGAAGGAUACAAAGCUGGAAUAAGAGGAAUGACCACUUCGUCUGACAGACCUGUUGCUGCACACAUCUGUACCCUUCGGUCAACAGAACCCGAUGCAAAGAACAGAAAAGGGAGAGAUGUGGGAGUUCAGACAGGCUGGUGGCGUGUCCAGAAUUUAUUCCUUCCGGUGGGUUCUUGGUCUCGCUGACUUCAAGAAUGAAGCCGCAAACCUUUGCUGCCUAUAUCACCCAAACCUGAAAAGGGAAAGAAGGAUGUGAAGAAAAUAAUAUAGGAGGAAGAAGAAUGAAGAAACAGCGGGCAAGAAAAAGAAGAAGACUAGAAAGAGAAGAUGAAGCAGGAUAAAGUGGAGGAGAAAUAGCUUUACUGAAUGGUAGGUCAUAUACAAAUUAUACUGGGGAAAAGUGAAAUUUGGCCCCUAAAUUCCACAUCUACCUACACGGUGAACAUUGAGGGUAUGCCUAGGUCCUAAGAGGAAUUUGUCUUCAAUAAUCUUCAUGAAUCAUUUAAGAGUUUUAAUGGUAACUAACGAGAAAAAUUUCAGUAAGCUAUAUUAAAACUGUUAAAUGAUUUAUUUAACAGUUUUGGUCAAAAC
rnacentral:lncRNA from 1 species